rnacentral:misc_RNA from 1 species
UGCAGGGACGCCUCAAUGCUG